rnacentral:rRNA from 1 species
UUAGCGGAUGACCUGUGGCUGGGGGUGAAAGGCCAAUCAAACCGGGAGAUAGCUGGUUCUCCCCGAAAGCUAUUUAGGUAGCGCCUCGUGAAUUCAUCUCCGGGGGUAGAGCACUGUUUCGGCCAGGGGGCCAUCCCGGCUUACCAAUCCGAUGCAAACUGCGAAUACCGGAGAAUGUUAUCACGGGAGACACACGGCGGGUGCUAACGUCCGUCGUGAAGAGGGAAACAACCCAGACCGCCAGCUAAGGUCCCAAAGUCAUGGUUAAGUGGGAAACGAUGUGGGAAGGCCCAGACAGCCAGGAUGUUGGCUUAGAAGCAGCCAUCAUUUAAAGAAAGCGUAAUAGCUCACUGGUCGAGUCGGCCUGCGCGGAAGAUGUAACGGGGCUAAACCAUGCACCGAAGCUGCGGCAGCGACACUGAUGUGUUGUUGGGUAGGGGAGCGUUCUGUAAGCCGUUGAAGGUGUGUCGUGAGGCAUGCUGGAGGUAUCAGAAGUGCGAAUGCUGACAUAAGUAACGAUAAAGCGGGUGAAAAGCCCGCUCGCCGGAAGACCAAGGGUUCCUGUCCAACGUUAAUCGGGGCAGGGUGAGUCGACCCCUAAGGCGAGGCCGAAAGGCGUAGUCGAUGGGAAACGGGUUAAUAUUCCCGUACUUGGUGUUACUGCGAAGGGGGGACGGAGAAGGCUAUGUUGGCCGGGCGACGGUUGUCCCGGUUUAAGCGUGUAGGUGUGUGUUCCAGGUAAAUCCGGUUCACUUUAACACUGAGGCGUGACGACGAGGCACCACGGUGCUGAAGCAACAAAUGCCCUGCUUCCAGGAAAAGCCUCUAAGCCUCAGGUAACAUCAAAUCGUACCCCAAACCGACACAGGUGGUCAGGUAGAGAAUACCAAGGCGCUUGAGAGAACUCGGGUGAAGGAACUAGGCAAAAUGGUGCCGUAACUUCGGGAGAAGGCACGCUGACACGUAGGUGAAGUGGUUUACCCAUGGAGCUGAAGUCAGUCGAAGAUACCAGCUGGCUGCAACUGUUUAUUAAAAACACAGCACUGUGCAAACACGAAAGUGGACGUAUACGGUGUGACGCCUGCCCGGUGCCGGAAGGUUAAUUGAUGGGGUCAGCGCAAGCGAAGCUCCUGAUCGAAGCCCCGGUAAACGGCGGCCGUAACUAUAACGGUCCUAAGGUAGCGAAAUUCCUUGUCGGGUAAGUUCCGACCUGCACGAAUGGCGUAAUGAUGGCCAGGCUGUCUCCACCCGGGACUCAGUGAAAUUGAACUCGCUGUGAAGAUGCAGUGUACCCGCGGCAAGACGGAAAGACCCCGUGAACCUUUACUAUAGCUUGACACUGAACACUGGUCCUUGAUGUGCAGGAUAGGUGGGAGGCUUUGAAGUGUGGACGCCAGUCUGCAUGGAGCCAUCCUUGAAAUACCACCCUUUAAUGGCUGGUGUUCUAACGUGGGCCCGUGAACCGGGUUGCGGACAGUGUCUGGUGGGUAGUUUGACUGGGGCGGUCUCCUCCUAAAGAGUAACGGAGGAGCACGAAGGUUGGCUAAUCCUGGUCGGACAUCAGGAGGUUAGUGCAAUGGCAUAAGCCAGCUUGACUGCGAGCGUGACGGCGCGAGCAGGUGCGAAAGCAGGUCAUAGUGAUCCGGUGGUUCUGAAUGGAAGGGCCAUCGCUCAACGGAUAAAAGGUACUCCGGGGAUAACAGGCUGAUACCGCCCAAGAGUUCAUAUCGACGGCGGUGUUUGGCACCUCGAUGUCGGCUCAUCACAUCCUGGGGCUGAAGUAGGUCCCAAGGGUAUGGCUGUUCGCCAUUUAAAGUGGUACGCGAGCUGGGUUUAGAACGUCGUGAGACAGUUCGGUCCCUAUCUGCCGUGGGCGCUGGAAGAUUGAGGGGGGCUGCUCCUAGUACGAGAGGACCGGAGUGGACGCAUCACUGGUGUUCGGGUUGUCAUGCCAAUGGCACUGCCCGGUAGCUACAUGCGGAAGAGAUAAGUGCUGAAAGCAUCUAAGCACGAAACUUGCCCCGAGAUGAAUCUUCCCUGAGCCUUUAAGGCUCCUGAAGGAACGUUGAAGACGACGACGUUGAUAGGCCGGGUGUGUAAGCGCAGCGAUGCGUUGAGCUAACCGGUACUAAUGAACCGUGAGGCUUAACCUUACAACGCCGAAG